rnacentral:rRNA from 1 species
AGAGUUUGAUCCUGGCUCAGGACGAACGCUGGCGGCGUGCCUAACACAUGCAAGUCGAGCGGAGACAGUGAGUAGCUUGCUAUGAGCUGUUUUAGCGGCGGACGGGUGAGUAACGCGUGAGCAACCUUUCCCAGACAGGGGAAUAACACACCGAAAGGUGUACUAAUACCGCAUAAGACCACGGGAUCACAUGGUUCUGAGGUAAAAGAUUUAUCGGUUUGGGGUGGGCUCGCGUCCGAUUAGGUAGUUGGUGAGGUAACGGCCCACCAAGCCGACGAUCGGUAGCCGACCUGAGAGGGUGAUCGGCCACAUUGGGACUGAGACACGGCCCAAACUCCUACGGGAGGCAGCAGUGGGGAAUAUUGCACAAUGGGGGAAACCCUGAUGCAGCGACGCCGCGUGAGCGAAGAAGUAUUUCGGUAUGUAAAGCUCUAUCAGCAGGGAAGAAAAUGACGGUACCUGACUAAGAAGCCCCGGCUAACUACGUGCCAGCAGCCGCGGUAAUACGUAGGGGGCAAGCGUUGUCCGGAAUAAUUGGGCGUAAAGGGCGCGUAGGCGGCUCGGUAAGUCUGGAGUGAAAGUCCUGCUUUUAAGGUGGGAAUUGCUUUGGAUACUGUCGGGCUUGAGUGCAGGAGAGGUUAGUGGAAUUCCCAGUGUAGCGGUGAAAUGCGUAGAGAUUGGGAGGAACACCAGUGGCGAAGGCGACUAACUGGACUGUAACUGACGCUGAGGCGCGAAAGUGUGGGGAGCAAACAGGAUUAGAUACCCUGGUAGUCCACACUGUAAACG